rnacentral:rRNA from 1 species
GAUGAACGCUGGCGGCAUGCCUAAUACAUGCAAGUCGAACGAGAGGAAGGAAAGCUUGCUUUCCUGAAUCUAGUGGCGAACGGGUGAGUAACACGUAGGUAACCUGCCCAUGUGCCCGGGAUAACUUCUGGAAACGGAUGCUAAAACCGGAUAGGUAGCAGACAAGCAUUUGACUGCUAUUAAAGUGGCUAAGGCCAUGAACAUGGAUGGACCUGCGGUGCAUUAGCUAGUUGGUGAGGUAACGGCCCACCAAGGCGACGAUGCAUAGCCGGCCUGAGAGGGCGGACGGCCACAUUGGGACUGAGACACGGCCCAAACUCCUACGGGAGGCAGCAGUAGGGAAUUUUCGUCAAUGGGGGGAACCCUGAACGAGCAAUGCCGCGUGAGUGAGGAAGGUCUUCGGAUCGUAAAGCUCUGUUGUAAGAGAAAAACGGCACUCAUAGGGAAUGAUGAGUGAGUGAUGGUAUCUUACCAGAAAGUCACGGCUAACUACGUGC